rnacentral:piRNA from 1 species
UGGGCUCAGAGGCCUGACAUUUAACUUGCCUA